rnacentral:tRNA from 1 species
GGCCCGUUGGUGAAGCGACUAACACACACGCCUCUCAAGCGUGAAUGCAUGGGUUUGAAUCCCGUACGGGUCACCA